rnacentral:rRNA from 1 species
UUAAGCGACUAAGCGUACACGGUGGAUGCCCUGGCAGUCAGAGGCGAUGAAGGACGUGCUAAUCUGCGAAAAGCGUCGGUAAGGUGAUAUGAACCGUUACAGCCGGCGAUGUCCGAAUGGGGAAACCCAGUGCAAUUCGUUGCACUAUCGUUAACUGAAUACAUAGGUUAACGAGGCGAACCGGGGGAACUGAAACAUCUAAGUACCCCGAGGAAAAGAAAUCAACCGAGAUUCCCCCAGUAGCGGCGAGCGAACGGGGAGCAGCCCAGAGUCUGAAUCAGCUUGUGUGUUAGUGGAACGGUCUGGAAAGUCCGACGGUACAGGGUGAUAGUCCCGUACACCAAAAUGCACAGGUUGUGAACUCGAAGAGUAGGGCGGGACACGUGGUAUCCUGUCUGAAUAUGGGGGGACCAUCCUCCAAGGCUAAAUACUCCUGACUGACCGAUAGUGAACCAGUACCGUGAGGGAAAGGCGAAAAGAACCCCGGCGAGGGGAGUGAAAAAGAACCUGAAACCGUGUACGUACAAGCAGUGGGAGCACCUUCGGGUGUGACUGCGUACCUUUUGUAUAAUGGGUCAGCGACUUAUAUUCUGUAGCAAGGUUAACCGUAUAGGGGAGCCGCAGGGAAACCGAGUCUUAACUGGGCGUUAAGUUGCAGGGUAUAGACCCGAAACCCGGUGAUCUAGCCAUGGGCAGGUUGAAGGUUGGGUAACACUAACUGGAGGACCGAACCGACUAAUGUUGAAAAAUUAGCGGAUGACUUGUGGCUGGGGGUGAAAGGCCAAUCAAACCGGGAGAUAGCUGGUUCUCCCCGAAAGCUAUUUAGGUAGCGCCUCGUGAACUCAUCUUCGGGGGUAGAGCACUGUUUCGGCUAGGGGGUCAUCCCGACUUACCAACCCGAUGCAAACUACGAAUACCGAAGAAUGUUAUCACGGGAGACACACGGCGGGUGCUAACGUCCGUCGUGAAGAGGGAAACAACCCAGACCGCCAGCUAAGGUCCCAAAGUCAUGGUUAAGUGGGAAACGAUGUGGGAAGGCACAGACAGCCAGGAUGUUGGCUUAGAAGCAGCCAUCAUUUAAAGAAAGCGUAAUAGCUCACUGGUCGAGUCGGCCUGCGCGGAAGAUGUAACGGGGCUAAACCAUGCACCGAAGCUGCGGCAGCGACACUAUGUGUUGUUGGGUAGGGGAGCGUUCUGUAAGCCUGCGAAGGUGUGCUGUGAGGCAUGCUGGAGGUAUCAGAAGUGCGAAUGCUGACAUAAGUAACGAUAAAGCGGGUGAAAAGCCCGCUCGCCGGAAGACCAAGGGUUCCUGUCCAACGUUAAUCGGGGCAGGGUGAGUCGACCCCUAAGGCGAGGCCGAAAGGCGUAGUCGAUGGGAAACAGGUUAAUAUUCCUGUACUUGGUGUUACUGCGAAGGGGGGACGGAGAAGGCUAUGUUAGCCGGGCGACGGUUGUCCCGGUUUAAGCAUGUAGGCUGGUUGUCCAGGCAAAUCCGGAUAAUCAAGGCUGAGGUGUGAUGACGAGGCACUACGGUGCUGAAGUAACAAAUGCCCUGCUUCCAGGAAAAGCCUCUAAGCAUCAGGUAACAUUAAAUCGUACCCCAAACCGACACAGGUGGUCAGGUAGAGAAUACCAAGGCGCUUGAGAGAACUCGGGUGAAGGAACUAGGCAAAAUGGUGCCGUAACUUCGGGAGAAGGCACGCUGGUGUGUAGGUGAAGUCCCUGCGGAUGGAGCUGAGACCAGUCGAAGAUACCAGCUGGCUGCAACUGUUUAUUAAAAACACAGCACUGUGCAAACACGAAAGUGGACGUAUACGGUGUGACGCCUGCCCGGUGCCGGAAGGUUAAUUGAUGGGGUUAUCCGUAAGGAGAAGCUCUUGAUCGAAGCCCCGGUAAACGGCGGCCGUAACUAUAACGGUCCUAAGGUAGCGAAAUUCCUUGUCGGGUAAGUUCCGACCUGCACGAAUGGCGUAAUGAUGGCCAGGCUGUCUCCACCCGAGACUCAGUGAAAUUGAACUCGCUGUGAAGAUGCAGUGUACCCGCGGCAAGACGGAAAGACCCCGUGAACCUUUACUAUAGCUUGACACUGAACAUUGAGCCUUGAUGUGUAGGAUAGGUGGGAGGCUUUGAAGCGUGGACGCCAGUCUGCGUGGAGCCAACCUUGAAAUACCACCCUUUAAUGUUUGAUGUUCUAACGUUGGCCCCUGACCGGGGUUGCGGACAGUGUCUGGUGGGUAGUUUGACUGGGGCGGUCUCCUCCCAAAGCGUAACGGAGGAGCACGAAGGUUAGCUAAUCCUGGUCGGACAUCAGGAGGUUAGUGCAAUGGCAUAAGCUAGCUUGACUGCGAGCGUGACGGCGCGAGCAGGUGCGAAAGCAGGUCAUAGUGAUCCGGUGGUUCUGAAUGGAAGGGCCAUCGCUCAACGGAUAAAAGGUACUCCGGGGAUAACAGGCUGAUACCGCCCAAGAGUUCAUAUCGACGGCGGUGUUUGGCACCUCGAUGUCGGCUCAUCACAUCCUGGGGCUGAAGUAGGUCCCAAGGGUAUGGCUGUUCGCCAUUUAAAGUGGUACGCGAGCUGGGUUUAGAACGUCGUGAGACAGUUCGGUCCCUAUCUGCCGUGGGCGCUGGAGAAUUGAGGGGGGCUGCUCCUAGUACGAGAGGACCGGAGUGGACGCAUCACUGGUGUUCGGGUUGUCAUGCCAAUGGCACUGCCCGGUAGCUAAAUGCGGAAGAGAUAAGUGCUGAAAGCAUCUAAGCACGAAACUUGCCCCGAGAUGAGUUCUCCCUGAGACUAUAAGUCUCCUGAAGGAACGUUAAAGACGAUGACGUUGAUAGGCCGGGUGUGUAAGCGCAGCGAUGCGUUGAGCUAACCGGUACUAAUGAACCGUGAGGCUUAACCUU